rnacentral:rRNA from 1 species
GCCCACUUAAUUAAAUCUUUAAAAUAUCCUAUGACACAAACAACUAAAUAACCACUAAAAAAUAAAGUACAGAAAUGGAAAUAACUAUUAAAUAAAGUAAAUAUUAACAAAUGUACCUUGUGCAUUAUGGUUUUACAAGAAAAUAAUUAAAAUAUUAAUCCCGAAUUCUAAAUGAGAUGUUAAACUGCUGUUAAAGAACCCACUAAUAACUGUAGAAAAAGCUUUAAAAGACAGUUUAACAGAGGCUACAUACCAUCCGCAUAAGAAUAUAGCUGGUUUUCAACAAAUAUUAUACAUUAAAGCAUAUAAUUAUAUUAUAGUGUAACAUUAUUGAGGAUAAGCCCAAUAAUAAGAGCAAUUAUACAAUAAAUCUAUUAUAUAUAAUAGGCCUAAAAACAGCCAAUAAAAAUACCUUACCGUAAUAAAUAAUGAUAUAAUUAAUAUUAUAUUAAUGCUAAAAAAGUUGAAAAAGUGAAUAAAUUAAAUAUUUCACUUUUAUUAUGUAAAAAUAAGUAUUAUUAAAUAAAUAAAAAUAAAAAUCUAGUAAAUUCAAUACACAAAAUUAUAAUAAUUAAUUAAGGAACUCGGCAAAUCCUUAUUUCGACUGUUUAACAAAAACAUUGUCUUAUGAAUAAUAUAUAAGAUAAUACCUGCCCAGUGACAUAAUGUUCAACGGCCGCGGUAUCCUAACCGUGCAAAGGUAGCAUAAUAACUUGCCUAUUAAUUGUAGGCUAGAAUGAAAGGGUUAACGAAAUAAAAGCUGUCUCAAUUAAUUCACUAAAAAUUAUUAGCUACUUGAAGAAAAGUAGAUAACCUCGAAGGACAAGAAGACCCUAUAGAGCUUAAUUUUAGUUAUAGAUUUAUACUAUGAAAAAUAUUCGGUUGGGGCGACCCAGGGCUAAAAAUCACCCAUUAAAUAAAAGAUAUAUUAAUCAAAUAAAUGACCCUUAAAGGACCAUAAAAACAAGCUACCUUAGGGAUAACAGGCUAAUCCCACUCAAGAGUCCUUAUCAACAGUGGGGGUUGGCACCUCGAUGUUGGCUUAGGGUAUCUAUAUAGCGCAAAAGUUAUAUAAAGAUGGUUUGUUCAACCAAUAAUUCCCUACAUGAGCUGAGUUCAGACCGGCGUAAGCCAGGUUAGCUUCUAUCCUCGACCACUAUAUCUACUCCUAGUACGAAAGGACCUGAAUAGAGUAAUAAUUAUACAAAAGAAUUCAUAUAAAUAAGAAUAAAAACACUAUAGUAUAUACUAUA